rnacentral:lncRNA from 1 species
UUUACCUUAUUGCAAACUGAAUUCCUCCUUCACUACAUUUCCAUACAAUUUCAAGUUAACAUCUUUACGAAACUGGUUUUAUCGAAACAAAAUGUUUUUGAAGACCUGAUUUUACCUAUGCACUAAUUCACCCCCCCUCUUAGUGCCGACCCCUUUCCUAACAAUUGGUAUCAGAGCCUCGUUUUCCCAUUCGGUUUAACACCCAAAG